rnacentral:rRNA from 1 species
UACAGAGGUCUCGAGCGUUGUUCGGAUUCAUUGGGCGUAAAGGGCGCGUAGGCGGCGGGGUAAGUCUGGUGUGAAAUCUCGGAGCUUAACUCCGAAACUGCAUUCGAUACUGCCGUGCUUGAGGACUGGAGAGGAGACUGGAAUUUACGGUGUAGCGGUGAAAUGCGUAGAUAUCGUAAGGAAGACCAGUGGCGAAGGCGGGGUCUCUGGACAGUUCCUGACGCUGAGGCACGAAGGUCAGGGGAGCAAACGGG